GAUGAACGCUGGCGGCGUGCCUAAUACAUGCCAGUCGAGCGAACGGACGAGAAGCUUGCUUCUCUGAUGUUAGCGGCGGACGGGUGAGUAACACGUGGAUAACCUACCUAUAAGACUGGGAUAACUUCGGGAAACCGGAGCUAAUACCGGAUAAUAUUUUGAACCGCAUGGUUCAAAAGUGAAAGACGGUCUUGCUGUCACUUAUAGAUGGAUCCGCGCUGCAUUAGCUAGUUGGUAAGGUAACGGCUUACCAAGGCAACGAUGCAUAGCCGACCUGAGAGGGUGAUCGGCCACACUGGGACUGAGACACGGUCCAGACUCCUACGGGAGGCAGCAGUAGGGAAUCUUCCGCAAUGGGCGAAAGCCUGACGGAGCAACGCCGCGUGAGUGAUGAAGGUCUUCGGAUCGUAAAACUCUGUUAUUAGGGAAGAACAUAUGUGUAAGUAACUGUGCACAUCUUGACGGUACCUAAUCAGAAAGCCACGGCUAACUACGUG
rnacentral:rRNA from 1 species